CCUACGGGAGGCAGCAGUGAGGAAUAUUGGUCAAUGGCCGUAAGGCUGAACCAGCCAAGUCGCGUGAAGGAAGAAGGAUCUAUGGUUUGUAAACUUCUUUUAUAGGGGAAUAAAGGUAUCCACGUGUGGAUAUUUGCAUGUACCCUAUGAAUAAGCAUCGGCUAACUCCGUUCCAGCAGCCGCGGUAAUACGGAGGAUGCGAGCGUUAUCCGGAUUUAUUGGGUUUAAAGGGUGCGUAGGUUGUUUUUUAAGUCAGCGGUGAAAGUUUGUGGCUCAACCAUAAAAUUGCCGUUGAAACUGGAAGUCUUGAGUGUGUUUGAGGUAGGCGGAAUGCGUGGUGUAGCGGUGAAAUGCAUAGAUAUCACGCAGAACUCCGAUUGCGAAGGCAGCUUACUAAGCCAUAACUGACACUGAAGCACGAAAGCGUGGGGAUCAAACAGGAUUAGAUACCCGAGUAGUC
rnacentral:rRNA from 1 species